UCCCAGUUGCUCUAAUUGUCCUAGCAGCCCUCAUCCAUCCCUGUUCGUGGCUGCACCUGCCUUUGACUCGAACCUGGGGGAUUACAGAUGUGAACAGCCCUCAUAUGAGGGGGUACCAAUGCUCUGUUUCCUGCCUCUGCUGCAGAGACCCUUCCCAGCCCAGCAGAGGGAUGUUGGACCCAGACCCUCCUGAGAUUUACGACCACAUUUCUCAUUUUCUUAGGUUCAUCAUGCUGGUCACUGUCUGACCAGCUGGUACUCCUCAUCAUUUCCAGGUGAUGAGGUACACAAUUAUGUCAGAAAGCUGCAUUUUUAGUGGGUUCCCAAAUACAUUGCCUUGCAUUUCACACUGGUGAAUUUUCUCUCUUUCUGCUUACCUCAGUUCUCAGGAUCAUGUGUUUCUGUUGUUGUUUCUCUCUGCUUACAUAUUGACAUUACCUCUAAAUUUUGCCGUUAGCAGAUUUUGGCAGUCAUUUUCUGCACCCAAGUAACAAAAACAUUGGUCUCAAAACUGUUUCUUAAGGAACUUCAGUAAUAAUUUCCCUCCCUCCUGAUUGCUACCUUUGCAGCAGUACAUGUUUUCAUCUCCCCUUCUCCCUGCAGCACGCCUGGUUUGCAGUUCAUUUAGUUUCCAUCCUUCCCAUCUGAGCUAAUCUCCCAGAUGGUGUUUAAUCAAGUGCUUUCUUCCAGCCACUCUGGAUGAGCUCUACUGCACUCUCUGCAUCUAGAAACCUAAUUAUGUUCCUGAGCUAACUUUGAUAAGUCCAUGCUGCUUGUUAUAUCAUUUAUCUCCAUUAUACUUUUCUUCAAAAUCUAAUCUUCAAUCUUACAAGUUUUUGAGGUCAGACUUAAGAGCAUUUUACUCUUUCCCAUUCUUCUCUUCCUUUCACAGUCACGUGGUGCCAUCCCUGGCAAGACAGAUGAGCUUAAAAUGGUUGUUUCUGCCCAGAGGUGUCACAUGGGACUCAGGAAGGGAAGUAGGUCCUUCCAUCUGCUGGAUGUGAAUUCCUGGAGUUUAGGGUCAGCCUGACUCUGCUGUGCUCCUCGUCUUGUUUCCAUCCUUCUCUUUCUUUCCUCCUCUUCCUUUUUUCUGUCCAUGGGUGGCAUCAGCACUAUCUUCCUGAAGACAGGGCUGAAGACAAGCAUAUAUUGUGCAGUUUUGUUUCCGUGCUUAUUGUUGCCUGUUUCUCUACUUUUAUGUCCCUUUAUGUGCCUAAGGAACAUUUUUUCUUCUGGCCUUCAUGUUUAUAGCAAGGUCUGGCUAAACAUGUCUGCCAAUUUUUGCUUUAAUCACUACAGCUCUUCUUUUUAAAGAUACAGCUUUCCUCUCCAGCAGCUCCUUUAUACCACUCCUUAUUGUCUCUCUGCUUCUUUCUAUUACUGUUCUUGAGGCAUCUGGAGUUUCCUGCAGACAUUUAUCCUGGAGGGUGGAAAUGUUGACAAUUGUCCUGCCACACAAGGUAAGGACAUCUGAAGCCUUCACCAUAUUAAAGUCAUCUUGAAUACUACUUCCACCUCUCUGAACAACCCAUCCUAACAUUUUAGAGUUCUGCUCUGGAAAUAAUGAAAUUCAGUUGCAAUCUACUUUUGCCUUAUCCCUCCUUUUAGUUUCACUGGCAUAUUUAGGGAUGUCCAAUGUGUUAUUUAAGUUUCCAUCUUACCAGUGCUGGCUGCACUCUUCCUUCUCAUUUCCAUUUGUCGUGGUUUAACCUCAGCCAGCAGCCAAGCCCCACACAGCCUCUCAUUCACUCCCCCACCAGUGGGAUCAGGGAGAGAAUCAAAAGAGAAAAAGCUGAAAAACCCAUGGAUUGAGAAAAAGACAGUUUAACAGGGAAAGCAAAAGCUGUGAGCACAAGGAAAGCAAACCAAGGAAUUAAUUCACCUGCUUCCCAUGGGCAGGCAGGUGUUCAGCCAUCUCCAGGGGAUCCGAGCCCCAUCACGUGUAACAGCGACCUGGGGAAACAAACACCAUCAGCCCAAAUAUUCCCCUCUUCCUCCUUCUUCCUCUCAUUUUACAUACUAAGCACGAUGUCAUAUGGUCUGGAAUAUUCCUUUGGUCAGUUUUAGUCAACUGUCUCAGCUGUGUCUCCAUCCAGCUUCCCAGGGACCCUCAGCCUUCUCACCAGCAGGGCAGUAUGAAAAGCAGAAAAGGCCUUGGUUGUGUGCAACCCUUGCUCAGCAGUAUCAAAAACAUCUCUACAUUAUCAGUGCUCAGCACAAAUCCAAAACACAGCCUUAUACAAGCAACUGGGAAGAAAAUGAACUUUUCCCCAGCCAAAACCAGCACAAACCAUUGCAGUGCUCUCUUCUACUUCCCCUUUUCUGGCUCCAAUACAAGAGCCUCAGGUAACAGACGUAAGAAAUCUCACUUCUAGAGGACAAAGUCUUUCUUUCAAUGUCAUCUUUUCUAUCUAAUGCCUUCUAAGAAUAAUUGAAACCAUGUCAGCCCAGGUUUUCAAAUAGAUUUCUCAUAAUUUUUAUUCUUUCACCUUAGAAGAGCAUAAAAUCCAACUAUAAAAAGUUGAAUUCUCAAACUGAUGUUGAAAAUGUGGGCUGAAAAAAAGCCCCUAUAUGCCCACAAUAAAUUUAGGAGUACUUUGGUAGCGUUGUGACCCCUUUGAGAAAAGCGAGGAGAAAAUGUAUGUCUAUGCUUUACCUUUUGUUUAGCCCCUUUCUUUUAUUGAUGUUGAAUUUUCUAAUGGUGCUCCAAGUAUGUGGAGUCCAGAAAAUCAUCUAUAACAUUGAUGUCCAGAGAAAAAGUGUUUCUCUAGAUAAUAUUGUAAGAUCAAGUGGGAUUCAGGUUAAAAGUUAAGGCACCUAUACUGAGGUGUCUACUCUGUGUUUCUGUGUGACCACCAUGAGUUAGAUCCCUUCAUAGUCCAUGGAAGUUGAGUCAACAGACCCCAGAGAGCUCUCCAGCUCACACUGUGGUGAACACCCAGGUGGGGUUCAGGUUCCUAACAAAGUUGUCUGAAGGUUUUGGGGUGCCCCAACAUAUCCUGCCUGGUCUUCAGAGAGCAGUGAGGCCCUUUCAGGUCCUGUUCCUUGUCUGCCUGCACCAUCCAGAAACCACAGGAGCCUGGAAUGUCCGUAGAUGCUCAUAUCUAGACAACUGAAUUCCAUCUGUGUGUUUGUUCAGCUGAAUCUCCCUGAAAAUCUCCCACAUGUGGAGGCCUUCGGUUUGCAUUGCUGGUGGAUCAGCAGAUGUUUGCAGCUGGAGCGAGCUGGGAAGUUUCUGAUGGCACAUUUUGAUGCACUUUGGCUGAAACGGAGGUGAGAAAAACAGCAGCAGCUCUGCUCCCUGGAAUCCUGGGGCUCCCAGGACUCACAGUUCUCAGGUUUAGGCAGUGGUGGCAGGAGAACAAUCAGUAUAAAAUGGCCACAAGCACAUUUAACCUGCAAAUUAAUCAGAAGUUUCUAAAUAUCAGGAUUAUACUGCUCCCACAGCAUUCCCAGCAGAGGAGUGCCAAAUGCUUUCGAGACACAUUAUUAAAUUAAAACAUUAUUUAUUAAACUGAAGACAAGGUUGCCAUGGCAGUGGGGGAAGAAGCUUCAUGAUGCAGGAAACCUCAUAACAUCUCUGCAAAGUGGGAUAUACAGGACUUCUAGCUCUGUGUUUUACAGGGGAGUCUGAGGAGUUCACAGUUCAAAGUUGUUUCUUCCCUUCAUAAUGCUUUUCUUUAGGCUGGAGGAUGGCUGAUCAGCUAGAUCAUACUGGUAAUACUUUCAACAGAAGGGGCUGAGUUUAAAGUGCUUUUGGAAACACACCUCAAACUACAAUUCAGGCAAGGCUUUAGCAGAUAUAAAACUGUGUGUGUGCUUUGUGCAUCCCUGGAAAGAAGCCCCUCUGGACCCCAUCAAAAGAGGACGAGCAGGAGACCUCCUCUCCAGCCCCUCACUCCCACCUCUGCGCUCUUCCUUCUCCUCCUGCUGGACUUCAUUCCUUCAGGGCAUCAUUUUUAACUAACACUUCUAAUGCUCCAAUUUCACAGGUUCCUGGUGUAUAAUUAGAAGUCCUGACAUCCUUGUCCUCUUCCUCCCUGGUGCCAUGGACCUGCUGAGAGAAGGAGAGAGGCUUUAUUCCCUCUCUCAUGGCAGAAUCAGCGGCAGGCCCUUCGCCAGGACCAUACAUCUGUCAGCAUCCGUCAGCCUCCCUGUAAUUAGCUCCAAAGCUGACUGCCUUCCAUCUCCCAGAGAGGCCAACACCUCUGUGUUUACUUCUCACUGGAAAAAAAAAUUCCUCCUGCAGUCACCUGAAAGUGUCUGCAAGCUGAGAAAAGUGCAAAUUCACAGUGACGUGCAAAUCUCCCCUUAAUAUCCCCCAACCUGACAUCAUGACACUUCCUAAACAGAGCCCAUCUCUGGUAGGAAAUGCACAAAUCUGUGUGACACAGCUGAGCCAAAGGGCAGUUCCUUUAGAGGAGUUUUACAGCCAAGUGGCAGGACGGACGUGUUUUUAAAAUCCUUGUCUUUCUGUUUUUCUCCCCAAGGAGUGAAUUAUUGCGAUUUUGUGAUGCUGGGAAGGAAAUGAAAAAUAACUGGGGAGUAGAAAGAAGUUUGACACAACAAACUGAGGCAAGUUUUCCAGUAGAGAUGAACACAGCCCCAGUCUGUAACCCUCAUUUUCACUUCUCUUUUCUCCCCUUCUUUCUGGGAAUGGGCUCAGUCCAGGUGCUGGAGCAGCCAAGGUGGAUGCUGUGCUGUAACUCAGACUUGCGUUUAUUUUACUUCUGUCACCUAUUGCAGGACGUUGUAAACAUUGAUUAUAGUUUUUAGAUGUUCAUAAGACUUGCAAAGAAAGGCUUUAAUUAUUUUUUUUAAUCACCUAUAGUAUAAAUUAUUUACAGCAGUUACUACAGCCCAACUGAGCUCCCACCAGAGGUUAAUGAAAAUUUUACCACUGACCUCAGGGCAGCAGAAACAAGUCAGAAACAGGACCCUUGUGUCCAGUGCACUCCGAUGAAAAAUAUUGACUCUGAUGAAAAAGGUUCCACUGGCUUUGAAGUUAUCUGUAUUGAACUGUACAUUUUUAUAUUGUGGGUCAUAUAAAUGUCUAUUCACAUAAUAA